rnacentral:rRNA from 1 species
UACGGAGGGGGCUAGCGUUGUUCGGAAUUACUGGGCGUAAAGCGCGCGUAGGCGGACCUGCAAGUCGGGGGUGAAAGCCCGAGGCUCAACCUCGGAACUGCCUUCGAUACUGCGGGUCUCGAGUCCGGGAGAGGUGAGUGGAAUUCCUAGUGUAGAGGUGAAAUUCGUAGAUAUUAGGAAGAACACCAGUGGCGAAAGGCGGCUCAGCUGGCCCGGUACUGACGCUGAGGCGCGAAAGGCGUGGGGAGCAAACAGG